rnacentral:rRNA from 1 species
AAUUCGCCCUUAGAGUUUGAUCCUGGCUCAGGACGAACGCUGGCGGCGCGCCUAACACAUGCAAGUCGAACGAGCGAGAGAGAGCUUGCUUUCUCGAGCGAGUGGCGAACGGGUGAGUAACGCGUGAGGAACCUGCCUCAAAGAGGGGGACAACAGUUGGAAACGACUGCUAAUACCGCAUAAGCCCACGGGUCGGCAUCGACCAGAGGGAAAAGGAGCAAUCCGCUUCGAGAUGGCCUCGCGUCCGAUUAGCUAGUUGGUGAGGUAAUGGCCCACCAAGGCAACGAUCGGUAGCCGGACUGAGAGGUUGAACGGCCACAUUGGGACUGAGACACGGCCCAGACUCCUACGGGAGGCAGCAGUGGGGAAUAUUGCACAAUGGGGGAAACCCUGAUGCAGCGACGCCGCGUGGAGGAAGAAGGUCUUCGGAUUGUAAACUCCUGUUGUUGGGGAAGAUAAUGACGGUACCCAACAAGGAAGUGACGGCUAACUACGUGCCAGCAGCCGCGGUAAAACGUAGGUCACAAGCGUUGUCCGGAAUUACUGGGUGUAAAGGGAGCGCAGGCGGGAAGACAAGUUGGAAGUGAAAUCUAUGGGCUCAACCCAUAAACUGCUUUCAAAACUGUUUUUCUUGAGUAGUGCAGAGGUAGGCGGAAUUCCCGGUGUAGCGGUGGAAUGCGUAGAUAUCGGGAGGAACACCAGUGGCGAAGGCGGCCUACUGGGCACCAACUGACGCUGAGGCUCGAAAGUGUGGGUAGCAAACAGGAUUAGAUACCCUGGUAGUCCACACCGUAAACGAUGAUUACUAGGUGUUGGAGGAUUGACCCCUUCAGUGCCGCAGUUAACACAAUAAGUAAUCCACCUGGGGAGUACGACCGCAAGGUUGAAACUCAAAGGAAUUGACGGGGGCCCGCACAAGCAGUGGAGUAUGUGGUUUAAUUCGACGCAACGCGAAGAACCUUACCAAGUCUUGACAUCCCUUGACAGGCAUAGAAAUAUGUAAUCUUUUCGGAGCAAGGAGACAGGUGGUGCAUGGUUGUCGUCAGCUCGUGUCGUGAGAUGUUGGGUUAAGUCCCGCAACGAGCGCAACCCUUAUGGUCAGUUACUACGCAAGAGGACUCUGGCCAGACUGCCGUUGACAAAACGGAGGAAGGUGGGGAUGACGUCAAAUCAUCAUGCCCUUUAUGACUUGGGCUACACACGUACUACAAUGGCGUUAAACAAAGAGAAGCAAGACCGCGAGGUGGAGCAAAACUCAGAAACAACGUCCCAGUUCGGACUGCAGGCUGCAACUCGCCUGCACGAAGUCGGAAUUGCUAGUAAUCGUGGAUCAGCAUGCCACGGUGAAUACGUUCCCGGGCCUUGCACACACCGCCCGUCA